rnacentral:rRNA from 1 species
CCUACGGGUGGCAGCAGUGAGGAAUAUUGGUCAAUGGGCGCGAGUCUGAACCAGCCAAGUAGCGUGAAGGAUGACUGCCCUACGGGUUGUAAACUUCUUUUAUAUGGGAAUAAAGUGUUCCACGUGUGGGUUUUUGUAUGUACCAUAUGAAUAAGGAUCGGCUAACUCCGUGCCAGCAGCCGCGGUAAUACGGAGGAUCCGAGCGUUAUCCGGAUUUAUUGGGUUUAAAGGGAGCGUAGGUGGAUUGUUAAGUCAGUUGUGAAAGUGUGCGGCUCAACCGUAAAAUUGCAGUUGAAACUGGCAGUCUUGAGUACAGGUGAGGUAGGCGGAAUUCGUGGUGUAGCGGUGAAAUGCUUAGAUAUCACGAAGAACUCCGAUUGCGAAGGCAGCUCACUGGACUGCAACUGACACUGAGGCUCGAAAGUGUGGGUAUCAAACAGGAUUAGAUACCCCAGUAGUC